AGUGGCGGACGGGGGAGUAACGCGUGGGUAACUGCCUCAUACAGGGGGAUAACAGUUAGAAAUGACUGCUAAUACCGCAUAAGACCACAGCACCGCAUGGUGUAGGGGUAAAAACUCCGGUGGUAUGAGAUGGACCCGCGUCUGAUUAGGUAGUUGGUGGGGUAACGGCCUACCAAGCCGACGAUCAGUAGCCGACCUGAGAGGGUGACCGGCCACAUUGGGACUGAGACACGGCCCAA
rnacentral:rRNA from 1 species